rnacentral:tRNA from 2 species
ACUCUAAUAGUUUAUUCAAAACAUUGGCCUUGUAAGCCAAAAAGUGAAGACCAUGCCUCUUCUUAGAGUA